rnacentral:rRNA from 1 species
GAUGAACGCUGGCGGCGUGCCUAAUACAUGCAAGUCGAGCGAACAGACGAGGAGCUUGCUCCUCUGACUUUAUCGGCGGACGGGUGAGUAACACGUGGAUAACCUACCUAUAAGACUGGGAUAACUUCGGGAAACCGGAGCUAAUACCGGAUAAUAUAUUGAACCGCAUGGUUCAAUAGUGAAAGACGGUUUUGCUGUCACUUAUAGAUGGAUCCGCGCCGCAUUAGCUAGUUGGUAAGGUAACGGCUUACCAAGGCAACGAUGCGUAGCCGACCUGAGAGGGUGGUCGGCCACACUGGAACUGAGGAACGGUCCAGACUCCUACGGGAGGCAGCAGUAGGGAAUCUUCCGCAAUGGGCGAAAGCCUGACGGAGCAACGCCGCGUGAGUGAUGAAGGUCUUCGGAUCGUAAAACUCUGUUAUUAGGGAAGAACAAAUGUGUAAGUAACUAUGCACGUAUUGACGGUACCUAAUCAGAAAGCCACGGCUAACUACGUG